rnacentral:lncRNA from 1 species
CAAGCGAGAGCGCGCGGGGGGGGCGGGGGGCACGGGGCGUUGCACGAGGCCCUUGCACGAGGCCCCGUGUUGCACGAGGGCCGUUGCACGCAGCCGCACGUUGCACGAGUCCAUUGCACGAGAGCCCGCGUUGCACGAGGCCGCGUGUUGCACGAGGCCGCCACGUCUGUGUCUCUCGCACGGUCUGGGGGCGCUCUGGGGGGGUUUGCAGCUCCACAACCAUUGCACGAGGACCCCACGUUGCACGAGGCCCCCACGUUGCACGAGGCUCCGUGUUGCACAAGGCUCCGUGUUGCACGAGGCUGCCGUUGCACAAGGCUGCUGUCACGUGACGUCCCCGUUGCACGAGGCCCCGUGUUGCACGAGGCCCCCCCCCCCGUUGUCCAGGCCCUCCCUUCUGCGUCCCUUGCACAUCCUCCUUGGAGGUGCUCACGAGGGGGGGGCACAAGGCUGCACGUUGCACGAGGGCUGAGCAUCUCCUGCGGCAGCCGUUGCACAAUGCCGUGCAUUGCACGAGGCCGCCUUUGCACGAGGCGAGGCAUUGCACGUGGGGCUGGGUGGCACAAGGCCGUGCUUUGCACGAGGCCAUGUGUUGCACGAGGCUGUGCUUGGCACGGGGGGGGGGGGUUGUAUUGCAUGAGGUUGUGCAUCGCACGAGGCCACACGUUGCAUGAGGCCACACAUUGCACAGUGUCGUGCCUUGCACGAGGGCUCCACAGCACAAGGAUUGUGCACCGCGUGGAGCCGUGCAUCGCACGAGGCUUCUGUGCACUGCACAGUGUUGUGCACCGCACGAUGCCCUUGUUGCAGAACACCGUGCAUUGCACAGCGCCAUGCACUGCACGAUUUUGUGCAUCAUGAAAGUGGUCAGUUGCAAAAGGCAUUGCACAAGGCCGUGCAUUGCACAAGGUCGUGCAUUGCACAAGGCUGCGCAUUGCACAAGGCCG